rnacentral:piRNA from 1 species
UACGAAAGGAAGAAUGUGUCUGGUAC